GGAACGGCCGCUGGGAGCGGCGGCUGCCGCGCAGUGAGGGCCGGGGGGGGCCGGCCGAGGCACUUCCAACGAGGCGGGGGGGCGGCAGACCCCCCGCAAUGGCACUGCGGCGCGGCGGGCGGGUGAGGAGGACUGAGGACGAACGCGGCCCCCAGGAUCCGAUCCUCCUCACCGGCGCCGCGCUCCGGCUCACCGAGGCACUGUACGGGCGGCGGGCGGUGGCUGUUAGUAACUGACAGGAGUGUCUUAAGGCAACCAGCUUGGCUGCACUGGUCUCAAACUGGGAAGCUCCCGCUUGCAGCGCAUCAGCACGGUCAUCCAACUCCGACAACUUCUGAUCUCUUUCCAGCACCUUGUCCACAUUCACCCUCAUGAUGUCAACAACCUACAUCAGUCACACGUUCCGUGCUGUUUUAUUGCUAUAAAUAUUUAGAAACUGCUUUCUGAGGCUCCAAACAGAACACACACAAGAAAAAGUCGCCUCUCAUUUCUUUGCCUACAUCGGCAGUGCUUUCAGGAAAGACUCUGUAAGUUGGCAAAGCUGCCUACAUUGUCACGGGGAAGCCGGACAGGAUACCCC
rnacentral:lncRNA from 1 species